rnacentral:rRNA from 1 species
CGUGGGUAACCUGCCCAAGAGAUCGGGAUAACACCUGGAAACAGAUGCUAAUACCGGAUAACAACAGAUGAUGCCUAUCAACUGUUUAAAAGAUGGUUCUGCUAUCACUCUUGGAUGGACCUGCGGUGCAUUAGCUAGUUGGUAGGGUAACGGCCUACCAAGGCGAUGAUGCAUAGCCGAGUUGAGAGACUGAUCGGCCACAUUGGGACUGGGACACGGCCCAAACUCCUACGGGAGGCAGCAGCC